rnacentral:rRNA from 1 species
AACGAACGCUGGCGGCGUGGAUUAGGCAUGCAAGUCGAACGAUCCCGCAAGGGAUAGUGGCGAAAGGGUGCGUAACACGUGGGCAAUCUGCCCCCGAAACGGGAAUAACUUCGGGAAACCGAAGCUAAUACCUGAUGACACCGAGCUGCCGCAUGGUGGCACGGUGAAAGGCGUCCGCAAGGGUGCCGAUCGGGGAUGAGCCCGCGGCCUAUCAGCUAGUUGGUGAGGUAACGGCCCACCAAGGCGAUGACGGGUAGCCGGCCUGAGAGGGUGGUCGGCCACAUUGGGACUGAGACACUGCCCAGACUCCUACGGGAGGCUGCAGUCGAGGAUCUUCCGCAAUGGGGGAAACCCUGACGGAGCGACGCCGCGUGGAGGAUGAAGGCCUUCGGGUCGUAAACUCCUGUCAGUCUGGAAGAAAAUCUGCAGCAAUGUGGAUUGACCGUACAGGCAGAGGAAGCUCCGGCUAACUCCGUGCCAGCAGCCGCGGUAAACAUACUCGUAC